GAGCUAUGUGUAGCAGCCUCGUGUCCUGUCGUUGUCAAGAGUGUACAACGACGAAUCAUUCUGUUAAAGACCUCCGAAGUGGCAGGCGGCCACGAGUUUUCACGGCAAAAAUUAAAGAGCCCGUCUUAAGAAAGCCGUGCCAGAGUUGUCACUUUGGAGCUACA